UCCCAAAGUGCUGGGAAUACAGGCAUGAGC
rnacentral:piRNA from 1 species